CGUGGGAACCUGCCCCGAAGUCAGGGAUACCCCUCCGAAAGGAGGGAUAAUCCCGGAUGAUCUCGCAAGAGCAAAGCUCCGGCGCUUCGGGAGGGGCCUGCGGCCUAUCAGCUCGUUGGUAGGGUAACGGCCUACCAAGGCAAUGACGGGUAGCUGGUCUGAGAGGACGACCAGCCAGAAUGGGACUGAGAGACGGCCCAUACUCCUACGGGAGGCAGCAGUGAGGAAUCUUCCGCAAUGGGCGAAAGCCUGACGGAGCGACACCGCGUGGAGGAAGACCCCCAUUCGGGCGUAAACUCCUUUUCUGAGGGACGAAAUUCUUGACGGUACCUCAGGAAGAAGCAUCGGCUAACUACGUGCCAGCAGCCGCGGUAAGACGUAGGAUGCGAGCGUUACUCGGAAUCACUGGGCGUAAAGCGUCUGUAGGCGGCUUGGGAAGUCUGAGGUCAAAUGGCGACGCUCAACGUCGUCAACGUCUCGGAAACUCCCAGGCUCGAGCAACAGAGAGGCACCUGGAAUACCGUGUGUAGGGGUAAAAUCCGUUGAUCCACGGUAGAACGCUUAAAGCGAAGGCAGGGUGCUGGAGGUUCGCUGACGCUGAGAGACGAAGCGUGGGGAGCGAACGGGAUUAGAUACCCCGGUAGUCCACGCCCUAAACGAUGCGUGCUCGGUGUGGGGGAUGAUUGAUCGUCCCCUGUGCCCUAAGCUAACGCGGUAAGCACGCCGCCUGGGGGAGUACGGCCGCAAGGCUAAAACUCAAACGGAAUAGACGGGGACCCACACAAGCGGUGGAGCAUGGGGUUUAAUUCGAUACUAAGCGAGGAACCUCACCCAGGCUUGACAUCCCGGGAAUCCGCCAGAAACGGCGGAGUGCCGCAAGGAACCCGGAGACAGGUGCUGCAUGGUCGUCGUCAGCUCGUGCCUUGAGGUGUGUUGUUAAGUCAAUGAACGAGCGCAACCCUCGCCCUGAUUUACUCUCUAUCAGGGGACUGCCGGCUCCAAGUCGGAGGAAGGUGGGGAUGACGUCAGAUCAGCAUGGCCCUUAUGCCUGGGGCCACACCCAUGCUACAAUGGCCGGUACAAAGGGCAGCCAAGUCGCAAGGCGGAGCCAAUCC
rnacentral:rRNA from 1 species